rnacentral:rRNA from 1 species
UACGUAGGCAGCGAGCGUUGUUCGGAGUUACUGGGCGUAAAGCGUGCGUAGGCGGUGUCUUAAGUUUGUUGUGAAAUCUCCCGGCUUAACCGGGAGGGUGCGGCGAAUACUGAGAUGCUGGAGUGCCGGAGAGGUAAGCGGAAUUCCUGGUGUAGCGGUGAAAUGCGUAGAUAUCAGGAGGAACACCUGCGGUGUAGACGGCUUACUGGACGGUAACUGACGCUGAGGCACGAAAAGCGUGGGGUAGCAAAACAGG